GCCUCAUUGGCCAAACAGUACUUUAUUCAACAAUCAAUAAGGUGAACAUACACAGAAGUACAUUCCCCAUCAACCCCAAGAACUGGUGUCUAUAUAAUAUUGGCGCCAUGUGAUCCACCGGCAAGGGAGGAGGCCAAUGGAAGGCAUCUGAUAAGGUAUGUCUUAUAAAAUAUAUAGAUUUAUGGUAAUUAAGACUGAGCUAGCAGAUGAGAAAUCCUAGUCAUUAACCAAGCAGCAUCUGUACAUAAUACAAGGCUCUAUGCAUUAAUUUGGGCCCUAACUUGGUGGGCAGAACUCAAGCUGCUG
rnacentral:lncRNA from 1 species